UUUGUACACACCGCCCGUCGCUACUACCGAUUGAAUGGCUUAGUGAGGCCUCCGGAUUGGUUUAGGAAAGGGGGCAACCUCAUUCUGGAACCGAGAAGCUGGUCAAACUUGGUCAUUUAGAGGAAGUAAAAGUCGUAACAAGGUUUCCGUAGGUGAACCUGCGGAAGGAUCAUUACUGAUUUGCUUAAUUGCACCACAUGUGUUUUUCUUUGAAACAAACUUGCUUUGGCGGUGGGCCCAGCCUGCCGCCAGAGGUCUAAACUUACAACCAAUUUUUUAUCAACUUGUCACACCAGAUUAUUACUAAUAGUCAAAACUUUCAACAACGGAUCUCUUGGUUCUCGCAUCGAUGAAGAACGCAGCGAAAUGCGAUACGUAAUAUGAAUUGCAGAUAUUCGUGAAUCAUCGAAUCUUUGAACGCACAUUGCGCCCUCUGGUAUUCCGGAGGGCAUGCCUGUUUGAGCGUCGUUUCUCCCUCAAACCGCUGGGUUUGGUGUUGAGCAAUACGACUUGGGUUUGCUUGAAAGACGGUAGUGGUAAGGCGGGAUCGCUUUGACAAUGGCUUAGGUCUAACCAAAAACAUUGCUUGCGGCGGUAACGUCUUACCACGGUAUUAUCUUCAAACUUUGACCUCAAAUCAGGUAGGACUACCCGCUGAACUUAAGCAUAUCAAUAAGCGGAGGAAAAGAAACCAACAGGGGAUUGCCUCAGUAGCGGCGAGUGAAGCGGCAAAAGCUCAAAUUUGAAAUCUGGCGUCUUUGGCGUCCGAGUUGUAAUUUGAAGAAGGUAUCUUUGGGCCCGGCUCUUGUCUAUGUUCCUUGGAACAGGACGUCACAGAGGGUGAGAAUCCCGUGCGAUGAGAUGACCCGGGU
rnacentral:rRNA from 1 species